rnacentral:rRNA from 1 species
AGAGCGAACGCUGGCGGCGUGCUUAACACAUGCAAGUCGAACGCGCAGCAUUCUGUAGCAAUACAGGGUGUGGGCGCGUGGCGAACGGGUGCGUAACACGUGGAUAACCUUCCUUGAGGUGGGGAAUAACCCAGUGAAAAUUGGGCUAAUACCGCAUAACAUCGCGAUGGCACAUGCUGAUGCGAUCAAAGGCGCAAGUCGCCACAAGAGGGAUCCGCGGCCGAUUAGCUUGUUGGCGAGGUAAUGGCUCACCAAGGCAAUGAUCGGUAGCCGGACUGAGAGGUUGGCCGGCCACACUGGAACUGAGACACGGUCCAGACUCCUACGGGAGGCAGCAGUGGGGAAUCUUGCACAAUGGACGAAAGUCUGAUGCAGCAACGCCGCGUGGGGGAUGAAGCUUCUCGGAGUGUAAACCACUUUCGACCCGGAAGAAUGCCCGCAAGGGUAUGACGGUACGGGUAUAAGAAGCCCCGGCUAACUACGUG